rnacentral:rRNA from 1 species
CCUCGGGCGUGCGGUGGGUACGGGCAGGCUAGAGUGUGGUAGGGGAGACUGGAACUCCUGGUGUAGCGGUGAAAUGCGCAGAUAUCAGGAAGAACACCGAUGGCGAAGGCAGGUCUCUGGGCCAUUACUGACACUGAGAAGCGAAAGCAUGGGUAGCGAACAGGACUAGAUACCCUGGUAGUCCAUGCCGUAAACGUUGGGCACUAGGUGUGGGGGACAUUCCACGUUUUCCGCGCCGUAGCUAACGCAUUAAGUGCCCCGCCUGGGGAGUACGGCCGCAAGGCUAAAACUCAAAGGAAUUGACGGGGGCCCGCACAAGUGGCGGAGCAUGCUGAUUAAUUCGAUGCAACGCGAAGAACCUUACCAAGGCUUGACAUGCACUGGACGGCUGCAGAGAUGUGGCUUUCUUUGGACUGGUGCACAGGUGGUGCAUGGUUGUCGUCAGCUCGUGUCGUGAGAUGUUGGGUUAAGUCCCGCAACGAGCGCAACCCUCGUUCUAUGUUGCCAGCACGUGAUGGUGGGGACUCAUAGGAGACUGCCGGGGUCAACUCGGAGGAAGGUGGGGACGACGUCAAAUCAUCAUGCCCCUUAUGUCUUGGGCUUCAAGCAUGCUACAAUGGUCGGUACAAUGGGUUGCGAAACUGUGAGGUGGAGCGAAUCCCAAAAAGCCGGCCUCAGUUCGGAUUGGGGUCUGCAACUCGACCCCAUGAAGUCGGAGUCGCUAGUAAUCGCAGAUCAGCAACGCUGCGGUGAAUACGUUCCCGGGCCUUGUACACACCGCCCGUCAAGUCACGAAAGUCGGUAACACCCGAAGCCAGUGGCCCAUCCUCGUGAGGGAGCUGUCGAAGGUGGGAUCGGUGAUUGGGACUAAGUCGUAACAAGGUAGCCGUACCGGAAGGUGCGGCUGGAUCACCUCCUU